rnacentral:ncRNA from 21 species
UCAUAUGAUGAUAAAACAUUACAGACCUGUUCUGAAUUUCGUUGAGGAUAACCUAUAUUGCCUUUUUACUGAGA